CAGUGUUUAAGUCUUCGAUGCGAGUCAUAACGCCCAUCGCCAUUUCCCUGCGAUCAGCCGGUGCUUCUGGACAGGGAUACAAGGUCGCUCUAAAGCCUUCGCAGAUCUUUUUUACACGAGUUUUCAGUUGAUCUCCUUGGAAGAAGAUGAUGAAGACUGAUUUGUAUACCUGGUCCCCCUAAAUACAUCAUUAUUGACCUCAUUCUCAAGUGCUUCGAUUUAAAUACGCAUUGUACACUCACCGUUGAUGGAUCUUCUAAAGGAGUCUCGAUUUCCGCCUGGCGUAGAAAGACAUUUCCGCGGCAUGCACGCCAUAACAUACGCUCGAACGCGGGGAUGCGUUCCCUCAGGAUGACUCCCGCGACGAAACUGCUCGUGUGAUGACACAAACAUCGUAUUAAUAAACAUAUAAGAACCGAUUAAAGAUCAGAUAUUUAAAGUGUCUAUGUGCAAACUGCAUGAAAAUCGCCGCGAUUACGGUUUCUUCGAAUAAAGCGUCAUGAUGAUCA